ACCGAUUCCAUACUUCAAGUAACUUCUGGUGAGAUUAUGUUGUGGCGCUGUUGGAUACUAAGGACAUCAAUCGUGCCAAAAAGCAUCCCGAAUUGAAUAUGUAAUUAAUACGUUUAUAAUUUCCGUUUGAUUGGAUACAUGUUCGAUCAAUCGCAUUCGUCGUUUGGAAGUGCCCGUUUACAUAAAGCAGAUAACUACGCUCUCUUGUGGACCUACAGCUAUAUUCAGUUCCGUGAUGAAAUUUUAGAGGAAGCGAUCAAGAAGCAGUCAGCUAAUGGCCUCUGUCGUAUCACUUUGGUGUAAUUUCUGUGCUACACCGUUCGUUUCCUUCGUAUGGAUACACGACGAUGCUAUAUCUAUACAAGAUCGCAGCAGUUUGCAACUUUAUCAUGGCCCAACCGGUAUUUCAAACGCACUUAGUUUACUUCAGAUCAGUGCCAACGAACUAGGCGCAGAACUCCCAAGAAAAUAGACGGAUUAAAAGAUUAACUUGCAAAUGUCUACGACGGAUACUUAUUUUCUGCAAACGCCUGUGAUUAUUUCAACCGGAAUGAAGUUUCUGCCGCUACCAAUGAAUUCAAUUAUUGAUUAUCAAAAAAAAAGUGAUUCAUGAAUAGGAAGUGAAAUAAAGUGUUCAUGUCAGCGUGCAACUAUA